AUUGAACGCUGGCGGCAGGCCUAACACAUGCAAGUCGAGCGGAUGAAGGGAGCUUGCUCCUGGAUUCAGCGGCGGACGGGUGAGUAAUGCCUAGGAAUCUGCCUGGUAGUGGGGGAUAACGUCCGGAAACGGGCGCUAAUACCGCAUACGUCCUGAGGGAGAAAGUGGGGGAUCUUCGGACCUCACGCUAUCAGAUGAGCCUAGGUCGGAUUAGCUAGUUGGUGGGGUAAAGGCCUACCAAGGCGACGAUCCGUAACUGUCUGAGAGGAUGAUCAGUCACACUGGAACUGAGAAACGGUCCAGACUCCUACGGGGGGCAGAAGUGGGGAAUAUUGGACAAUGGGCGAAAGCCUGAUCCAGCCAUGCCGCGUGUGUGAAGAAGGUCUUCGGAUUGUAAAGCACUUUAAGUUGGGAGGAAGGGCAGUAAGUUAAUACCUUGCUGUUUUGACGUUACCAACAGAAUAAGCACCGGCUAACUUCGUG
rnacentral:rRNA from 1 species